CCUACGGGGUGCAGCAGUCGAGAAUCAUUCACAAUGGGGGAAACCCUGAUGGUGCGACGCCGCGUGGGGGAAUGAAGGUCUUCGGAUUGUAAACCCCUGUCAUGUGGGAGCAAAUUAAAAAGAUAGUACCACAAGAGGAAGAGACGGCUAACUCUGUGCCAGCAGCCGCGGUAAUACAGAGGUCUCAAGCUUUGUUCGGAAUCACUGGGCGUAAAGCGUGCGUAGGCUGUUUCGUAAGUUUGGUGUGAAAGGCGCGGGCUCAACCCGCGUACGGCCAACGAUACUGCGAGACUAGAGCGAUGGAGGGGGAACCGGAAUUCUCGGUGUAGCAGUGAAAUGCGUAGAUAUCGAGAGGAACACUCGUGGCGAAGGCGGGUUCCUGGACAUUAACUGACGCUGAGGCACGAAGGCCAGGGGAGCGAAAGGGAUUAGAUACCCGUGUAGUC
rnacentral:rRNA from 1 species